CGGCAGGCCUAACACAUGCAAGUCGAACGGUAACAGGAAGCAGCUUGCUGCUUCGCUGACGAGUGGCGGACGGGUGAGUAAUGUCUGGGAAACUGCCUGAUGGAGGGGGAUAACUACUGGAAACGGUAGCUAAUACCGCAUAACGUCGCAAGACCAAAGAGGGGGACCUUCGGGCCUCUUGCCAUCGGAUGUGCCCAGAUGGGAUUAGCUAGUAGGUGGGGUAACGGCUCACCUAGGCGACGAUCCCUAGCUGGUCUGAGAGGAUGACCAGCCACACUGGAACUGAGACACGGUCCAGACUCCUACGGGAGGCAGCAGUGGGGAAUAUUGCACAAUGGGCGCAAGCCUGAUGCAGCCAUGCCGCGUGUAUGAAGAAGGCCUUCGGGUUGUAAAGUACUUUCAGCGGGGAGGAAGGGAGUAAAGUUAAUACCUUUGCUCAUUGACGUUACCCGCAGAAGAAGCACCGGCUAACUCCGUG
rnacentral:rRNA from 1 species